GGCGGCAGGCCUAACACAUGCAAGUCGAGCGGUAACAGAAAGUAGCUUGCUACUUUGCUGACGAGCGGCGGACGGGUGAGUAAUGCUUGGGAACAUGCCUUGAGGUGGGGGACAACAGUUGGAAACGACUGCUAAUACCGCAUAAUGUCUACGGACCAAAGGGGGCUUCGGCUCUCGCCUUUAGAUUGGCCCAAGUGGGAUUAGCUAGUUGGUGAGGUAAUGGCUCACCAAGGCGACGAUCCCUAGCUGGUUUGAGAGGAUGAUCAGCCACACUGGGACUGAGACACGGCCCAGACUCCUACGGGAGGCAGCAGUGGGGAAUAUUGCACAAUGGGCGCAAGCCUGAUGCAGCCAUGCCGCGUGUGUGAAGAAGGCCUUCGGGUUGUAAAGCACUUUCAGUCAGGAGGAAAGCGUGGUGGUUAAUACCCAUCAUGUGUGACGUUACUGACAGAAGAAGCACCGGCUAACUCCGUGCCAGCAGCCGCGGUAAUACGGAGGGUGCGAGCGUUAAUCGGAAUUACUGGGCGUAAAGCGUACGCAGGCGGUUUGUUAAGCGAGAUGUGAAAGCCCCGGGCUCAACCUGGGAACUGCAUUUCGAACUGGCAAACUAGAGUGUGAUAGAGGGUGGUAGAAUUUCAGGUGUAGCGGUGAAAUGCGUAGAGAUCUGAAGGAAUACCGAUGGCGAAGGCAGCCACCUGGGUCAACACUGACGCUCAUGUACGAAAGCGUGGGGAGCAAACGGGAUUAGAUACCCCGGUAGUCCACGCCGUAAACGAUGUCUACUAGAAGCUCGGAGCCUCGGUUCUGUUUUUCAAAGCUAACGCAUUAAGUAGAC
rnacentral:rRNA from 1 species